rnacentral:rRNA from 1 species
AACGAACGCUGGCGGCGCGUCUUAACCAUGCAAGUCGAGCGGCAGGCAGCAAUGCCGAGAGCGGCGGACUGGUGAGUAACACGUGGAUAACGUACCCCGAUGUCCGGGACAGCCUGUAGAAAUAGAGGGUAAUACCGGAUAGAUCACUGUUUACGUGAGGUAGACAGCGGGAAAGGAGCUUCGGCUCCGCGACGGGAUCGGUCUGCGGCCCAUCAGCUGGACGGCGGGGUAAAGGCCCGCCGUGGCGAGGACGGGUAUCCGGCCUGAGAGGGCGGACGGACACAUUGGGACUGAGAUACGGCCCAGACUCCUACGGGAGGCAGCAGGUAAGAAUAUUCCGCAAUGGGGGGAACCCUGACGGAGCGACGCCGCGUGAACGAAGAAGGACGGAAGGUUGUAAAGUUCUUUUCUGUCCGAGGAAUAAGUUUCGGAGGAAAUGCCGGGACGGUGACGGUAGGGCAGGAAUAAGCACCGGCUAAUUACGUG